GGAGUACUGACAACACUAACAUGCUAAUGAACCAGUUGGGAGCUGAAGAUAAGAAGGUGUUUAAUUUUGAUGUAAGACAGCUACAUUGGGCUGAGUAUAUGGAAAUUACUGUAUGGGAACCAAGAAAUAUGUCCUGAACGAGGAGCUCUCUGGACUUCCAGCAGCAAGAAAACAUCUCAAUAAAUUAAGGAAUAUCCGAUAUGCUUUCAACACAAUCCUCGUUGUCUUGAUUUGGCGUGUUUUCAUAGCAAGAUCACAGAUGGCUCGAAAUAUCUGGUACUUUGUAGUCAGCUUGUGCUACAAGUUCCUGUCCUACUUCAGAGCCUCCAGUACAAUGAGAUACUGAGAAACACAAAUCCCUGGAAUUUGAAGCUCUAUGCAUUUGAAGGAAUGCUUUCCGAAGACUGGACAGUACUGUCUGCAUUACAUGUUUAUGCUGACAAUACUAAAAACAUUCUACAUGUUGUGUGUUGUGUAUCUGUAUGUAAUUUAUUUGAAACGACUGAAAGGAUAAGUUCGAAAAAGAGUGGAGAUCCUGUAACUAAUAGCCUUUGGCAAUUUUUAAAAAUAACUUUUAAA